UACGUAGGGACCGAGCGUUGUUCGGAUUUACUGGGCGUAAAGGGCGCGUAGGCGGCAAUUCAAGUCAUCUGUGAAAUCUCCGGGCUUAACUCGGAACGGUCAGAUGAUACUGCUUUGCUAGAGUGCGGAAGGGGCAAUCGGAAUUCUUGGUGUAGCGGUGAAAUGCGUAGAUAUCAAGAGGAACACCUGAGGUGAAGACGGGUUGCUGGGCCGACACUGACGCUGAUAGCGCGAAAGCCAGGUGAGCAAACGGG
rnacentral:rRNA from 1 species